GUAAGGAAUAUUGGUCAAUGGGCGCAAGCCUGAACCAGCCAUGCCGCGUGCAGGAAGACGGCCCUAUGGGUUGUAAACUGCUUUUAUCAGGGAAUAAACCCCCGCUCGUGAGCGGGGCUGAAGGUACCUGAAGAAUAAGCAUCGGCUAACUCCGUGCCAGCAGCCGCGGUAAUACGGAGGAUGCAAGCGUUAUCCGGAUUCAUUGGGUUUAAAGGGUGCGCAGGCGGAUUGGUAAGUCAGGGGUGAAAUCCCACAGCUCAACUGUGGAACUGCCGUGGAUACUGUCAGUAUAGAGUAUAGUUGAAGUUGGCGGAAUGUGUCAUGUAGCGGUGAAAUGCUUAGAUAUGACACAGAACACCGAUCGCGAAGGCAGCUAGCUAAGCUAUAACUGACGCUCAUGCACGAAAGCGUGGGGAUCAAACAGGAUUAGAAACCCCUGUAGUCC
rnacentral:rRNA from 1 species